rnacentral:lncRNA from 1 species
UUAGAGCCAAUUGCGAGACCGGAAGCUCCCUUCCUUCCCCAUCCUUAGGUCAAAUCUUGGGUAGUGACCGUGUCCCGGAAGAGGUGGAUCUUUUUUGCUCUGGGUUUGGAGCUUGUUGGAAAAGGUGAGGCGCCGCAGAAGAAAUGGCGGGCUCUCCCAAAUAUUCCCAGUCGCGGACAUGAGAGGCGUUUCCUGCUGCUUGACACCGAGUUUAAGUUUUCAUGGUGCUGCCUGGGGGUUUCUGAGGGAAAAUAGAAACCAAAUAGCUACAGAGCCAAACCAGGAUACCAAGGACAGUAAUCAUGAAUUUCUCACAAAAGUUGUACUAAAUCAUGCUUGGGCAACAUGGCCCACCUUCUUACGAAGAAAAAACAGCUCUGCCUUUGCUGUGCUUCAGACAGAGAAUUCCCCAUGAUCUACCCAGUGAUUUUCCAAAGAAAAUGAAGUAGAUGCAUGUCCGGGGCCGUGUCCCACCCCAGGAACACAGCAAAGGCCAGUCACCCUCCACAGCAGACUUCUCCACUGUCAAGUCCCUGUUCAGGUGCCAAAUGUAGGGGUUCUGCAAGCAAAGAGAAAAUAAAGGGACACACACACCAAAGGUCAGCAAAAUGGCUGCUGCCCUACCAGCAUAAGUGAGCAGUUUUUAUUGAAGUAAAGAACAAAGAAGCUCAUAUUGUGUAUGCUUAGAGUGUAAAACUUGUUUGCUUGGGGCUGGGGAUUUAGCUCAGCGGCAUAAGCACCUGCCUUGCAAGCAGGCGGUUGUGAGUUUGAUCCCCGGUACCGAUAAAAAAAAAAUUUAAAAAAACAAACAAAACUUGUUUGCUUCUUGUCCUUCUGGGCACCUCAUGCACUUAUCCUGAGGAGAUGCUUCAAGGCCUGCACCUUUUACCAAGGCACUGUCAACCAGAUACGUCCAGGCCAAAAUAGAGUCAGUGUAGACUCUCUACAUUCCAACUACAGCAAUAACAUGAAACGUGGGAAAAAGAUUUGGUGAUGCAAAAUGUCGGUGUCGCUCCCGGCCUGCAGGAAGAACACGCGACAGAUUCUGACGGUGUGCAACCUUGCCUUUAUUUGUCUCCACGUGGGCCCCGCGAGGCCUCCUCUCUGUCACCAGCCCUUUCUCGCCGGUGGACUUUCUCUAUCUCU